rnacentral:rRNA from 1 species
CCGGUUGAUCCUGCCAGACCUGACUGCUAUCGGAUUGAUACUAAGCCAUGCGAGUCUUUGUAGUAAUACAAGGCAGACGGCUCAGUAACACGUAGUCAACCUACCCUAUGGACGAGAAUAAUCUCGGGAAACUGAGCAUAAUUCUUGAUAGAUCAUAAUGCCUGGAAUGGUUUAUGGUUAAAAUGAUUCGUCGCCAUAGGAUGGGACUGCGGCCUAUCAGCUUGUUGGUGAGGUAAUGGCCCACCAAGGCGAUUACAGGUACGGGCUCUGAGAGGAGAAGCCCGGAGAUGGGUACUGAGACACGGACCCAGGCCCUAUGGGGCGCAGCAGGCGAGAAAACUUUGCAAUGUGCGAAAGCACGACAAGGUUAAUCCGAGUGAUUUCUGCUAAAGAAAUCUUUUGCCAGUCGUAAAACCGCUGGUGAAUAAGGGGUGGGCAAGUUCUGGUGCCAGCAGCCGCGGUAAU